AUGUGCUCAGUGUCCUUUUCUCAUAAAUCAUAAUAUCACUGCCUACUCUAUAAUGUUAUACAUUAUACCAUUAUAUUCCUGUGGUACAAACAUUAUCUGACAGUUCUUUUAAGUUUAUUCAAGUAGUUUAAUCAUUUUUUUUCAAGUACGAUAUUUGCCAUUUACAAGUAUUAACAGUAAUUCAUACAUUGGAAUUAUUCGUUGGAGAUCUCGCUCAUAUAGUAGCACGUACAUGUAAACAGUAAAACAGUCACAAAUAGAAUAUAAAUAAAUAUAAAUAGAACAACAACUAAAAGUGCAGUGGUAAGAUUAUAGUAACACUACAGUCAUAAAUGUUAAAGUGUUAAAAACAGCAGUCAGAUAAAAGCUAUUCUUGAACCUGGUAUUCCUGCUGUCCUUCCUCCACACAGUCAGCCUGCCCGACUGUCCUGUACCUCCCUCUGGAUGGCAGCGGUGGCAGAGUAGAGAGAGAAACCGAUGAAGUGUGGAAGUCAUGCUGGUAGCGGAGGAGAGAGUAGAGAGAGACAGGACGGUGCUGUAGGACAUGCUGGUGGCUGGUAGUGGAGUCCAGUAGAGAGUAGAGAGAGACAGGACGGUGCUGUAGGACAUGCUGGUGGCUGGUAGCGGAGGAGAGAGUAGAGAGAGACAGGACGGUGCUGUAGGACAUGCUGGUGGCUGGUAGCGGAGUCCAGUAGAGAGUAGAGAGAGACAGGACGGUGCUGUAGGACAUGCUGGUGGCUGGUAGUGGAGUCCAGUAGAGAGUAGAGAGAGACAGGACGGUGCUGUAGGACAUGCUGGUGGCUGGUAGCGGAGUCCAGUAGAGAGUAGAGAGAGACGACUGUUGCAGCACACAGUGUGUGUUGUCGGGGCGGAUGUAGUGUGUGUGUAGUCGGGGCGGAUGCAUAGUGCGCGUAGUUGGGGCGGCCUUCUGACACUGAGGAAGUAUAAGACUCUUGGCCGCCGAGCCUAAAGGAGCUAAAGCCGCAAUAGAGGUAUUCGGCGGCUUCACUGGCUGUGCUCCCGAUACGCUUCUGGACAGCCACUGACUUGAGAUCUCAAACAAUUCCCUUUGAACCACGCAGCCAUUUUUUCUUUUAAUUUACCUCCAAGAAAAUAGAAAAUAGCAGCAGCUAGGAUGAACACCAAAACAACCACCACCACCAUUGUUGGCCUUCCUGUGUCGUCGCAGUGCUUCUCUUUGGGAGUGACAGUAACAGCUUCUGGAUUUCCUCUCUGGUGGUCAGGGCCGAAGAAACACAGAACAACUUGUCAGGUGGUGCAUUGGAGACUGAUGUGUUCCUGUCCUGUCUUUUCAUAAUACUAUUGCAGAUCAACAUAAAAGCCUAAAAGACAGCCGUGGUGUCGCUCUUCAUUUCUUGGUUCUCCUGUGGUGCAUAAGAGACCCGCUACAUACAUGUAGUUAUUACCAUGCAUGAGAUGCCCACAUUGUAGCCUGUACUUUUAAUAUAUUCACUGAUCAUGUACUUUACCUCGGCAAAUAAAGGUGCAGUUCAGGUAUGAAUGUUUUUGAGAUAAUUUUUCAGUCAUAUCCAAUACCAGGAGGAUCAAAUUCCAGUCUUUGAUGCUGUGUCUGCAUGGAUGUAUUACAUUUAUCCACUUCAACAGUGUUUACAAUCUUUGUCCUGGGACAUCAAUGGUUACAUAUUGUAACUAUGCAAUAGUUUAACUAGUUAAAGGAUGAUUUGUUAUUCAUAUAUACAGAAAUAGAAUUUAAAAAAACUUCUCUCUCUCCCUUCUCUCACCCCCUUCCCUCUCCUCCUCUCCCCCUCACUCCCUUCUCUCUCUCACUUCUCUCUCCCCCCUCCCUCCCUCCCCCUUCUCUCCGUUCUUUCUUCCCCUCUCCCCUUCUCUCUCCGCCUCUCCCCAUUCUCUACCAUCUCACUCUCUCCCCCUUCUCUCUCCUCCUCACUCCCUUCUCUCUCCCCUCACUCCCCAUUUCCCCCUUCUCUGUCCCCCUCUCCCCUUCUCUCUCCCCCUCCUCUCUCCCCCUCUUCCCCUCUCUCACUUUUCUCUCUCCUAUCCCCUCCCUCCAUCCCCCCUACUCUCUCCACCUCUCUCCGUUCUUCUCCCUUCUUUCUCCCCCUCUCCCCCUUCUCUCUCCCCAUUCCCUCCCAUCUCCCUCUCUUCCCCUCUCUCCCUAUCUCCCUCUUCCCCUCUCUCCCUUCUCUCUCCCCAUCUCUUCCCCUCUCUCCCUUCUCCCCAUCUGCCUCUCUUCCCCUCUCUCACUUCUCUCUCCCCUCUCUCCCUUCUUUCUCCCCCUCUCCGCCUCUCCUCCCUCUCUCUGCCCCUCUCCCCCUUCUCUCUCCCCGUUCUCCCUCUCUUCCCCUCUCUCCCUUCUCUCCCUCUCUUCCCCUCUCUCCCUUCUCUCUCCCCAUCUCUUCCCCUCUCCCACUUCUCUCUCCCCCUCUUCCCCUCUCUCACUUCUCUCUCCCCCUCUCUCCCUUCUCUCUCCCCCCUCUAGCUGUUCUCUCCCUUCUUUCUCCCCCUCCUCUCUCCCCCUCUCCCCCUUCUCCCCAUUCUCUCUCUCCCUUCUCUCUCCCCCUCCCUUCCCCUUCUCUUUCCCCCCUCACCCCUCUCUCCCUUCUCUCUCCCCAUCUCUUCCCCUCUCCCCCUACUCUCUCCCCCUCUUCCCCUCUCUCCCUUCUCUCUCCCCCCUCUAGCUGUUCUCCCCCUUCUCUCUCCCCCUCCCUCCCCCUUCUCUCUCCCCCUCUCUCCCUUCUCUCUCCCCAACUCUCCCUCCUCUCUCCACCUCUCCCCUUCUCUCUCCGUCUCUUGCUCCAUCACUUCUACAACCGGUACUUCCAGUAGUGCCGCAUUGAGCUUCAAUGAACAUUUCCAGCUAUCAAAACCACCACCACUACCCCCUGGACCAGCCACGGACUACCCAGGUUUGAUGCCCCAAAGUCCGCCUCCACCUCAUCCACCACCCAUUGAGCCAGUGGAAGCAGUGGAGAGACACCAGUGCUCAACACCCUCUCCCCAGGUUUAGGUGACCCUAGCCAUGCUAGUGAUGGGAAUGGAGGGGCAUCUAUGAUGGAUGCCAGCAUCAUGACUUCCACAAGCUGUCUGUUCAAGCCAAGCCUACCACCACCACCACUUCCACCAAGGGGGGCCCUGUCGUCCGGCCUCUGCCCAUGCUCGGUGAGGGUUCCCAGGCACAGCUCCGGCCACCGAUGGCCUCCCCUUGAUGUCUCUCUCCAACCCCCUCUACAGAGAGUCUAUGAUGACUUCUCACAACUGUGCCAACACAGCCUCCUCCUCUUCCUCCUCUUCCUCCUCUUCCUCCUCCUUCGCUCCAGUCUUCCCUCCAUCCCUGCCCUGCGCUAACUGUGGCUACAUCCAGGGCUCUACAGCCCCCACUACCUCACGGCUGCCCCAAAGAGGACAGGCUAGUCCGGAGAGACUCUACUACCUCCAUCCCCUCUAUAUAUCCACAAAGAGAGAUCUAAAUUGACAAAUAAAGGUGGCCAACAGGGGGCAGCAGAGGCACACCAUUCCAUAACAACAGCUAUACUUGUAGGAGUGUUUACAUUUUGUGAUGUAACCCCAUAAUUAGGUUGGGGGUUUUUUCCCAAAUGGCACCCUACUCCCUAUAUAGUGCACUACUUCUAACCAGGAACCAUGGGGCUCUUGUCAAAGAUAGUACACUAUAUAGGGAAGGUUCUGACAUAUGUAAUAUUACUGCUACAGUAUAUUGGUGGGGCUUACUAUGUGGUUAUCUGGAUCUGUAGCCAGUGGGUGGGGUUUACUAUGUGGUUGUCUGGAUCUGUAGCCAGUGGGUGGGGCUUACUAUGUGGUUAUCUGGAUCUGUAGCCAGUGGGUGGGGUUUACUAUGUGGUUGUCUGGAUCUGUAGCCAGUGGGUGGGGCUUACUAUGUGGUUGUCUGGAUCUGUAGCCAGUGGGUGGGGCUUACUAUGUGGUUGUCUGGUUCUGUAGCCAGUGGCUUGUUAUUGGCUACCCAGAUAUUAACAUAUCAUACAGUAAGUACACUGUAGCCCCCAGGC
rnacentral:lncRNA from 1 species